UACGGAGGGUGCGAGCGUUGUCCGGAAUCACUGGGCGUAAAGGGCGCGUAGGCGGCCUGUUGCGUCCGCUGUGAAAACCCGGGGCUUAACCCCGGGCUUGCAGUGGAUACGGGCAGACUAGAGGUAGGUAGGGGAGAAUGGAAUUCCUGGUGUAGCGGUGAAAUGCGCAGAUAUCGGGAGGAACACCAGUGGCGAAGGCGGCUACCUGGCACAUAACGUGACGCUGAUACGCGAAAGCGUGGGGAGCGAACAGG
rnacentral:rRNA from 1 species